rnacentral:lncRNA from 1 species
CCCUGAGAUGGAUUUUGACUCUAAUUAGAAGUCGAUCAGGAGGGAGGAGAAGACUCCCUAUGGGAGUCUUCUUCAUUCUUUGUUUUUGUACUUUGAUAUCUAUGCUGGGUAUUUCAUUCUUUUCUCCUAAAAAAAAAUUUCGUCUUCAAAAUUUUUUUUGCUUAAGUCUUCAAAAAAUUUUUACUUGGGAUUUAUGAUUAAAAUCUCAGCCACAAAUAUUUUAAUAUUCUAAUUCUC